UACGUAGGGGGCGAGCGUUGUCCGGAUUUACUGGGUGUAAAGGGAGCGCAGACGGCAGUGCAAGUCUGAUGUGAAAGCCCGGGGCUCAACCCCGGAACUGCAUUGGAAACUGUACAGCUUGAGUGUCGGAGAGGUAAGCGGAAUUCCUAGUGUAGCGGUGAAAUGCGUAGAUAUUAGGAGGAACACCGGUGGCGAAGGCGGCUUACUGGACGAUUACUGACGUUGAGGCUCGAAAGCGUGGGGAGCAAACAGGAUUAGAUACCCUGGUAGUCCCU
rnacentral:rRNA from 1 species